rnacentral:misc_RNA from 1 species
AAAUGAUUCUGGUUUAGAUUUUCAUUAACCAUAUUCUUUUCAACUGAAUUAACCCAUUUGUUCCUUUUUUUUGGGGGGUUCCCAUAUUUAAGAAAUGGCCAUUCCUUAUCCUCAUUUCAGUUUUGUUGCCUCAGAAUCCAUGGAGACAGGCUUGUCCCCUCUGUCUCCAUCCCCAGUAAUACUUACCCAAGAUGAGCUUAAGAAAAUCGCUGCCUAUAAAGCCGUUGAGUAUGUUGAAUCCGGCAUGGUUAUCGGCCUCGGCACUGGCUCGACAGCCAAGCAUGCUGUGGACCGAAUUGGUGAGCUUUUGCGCCAAGGCAAGCUCAAGAAUAUUAUCGGCAUACCCACCUCAAAAAAGACCCAUGAACAAGCUCUUUCUUUGGGAAUCCCCUUAUCAGACCUUGACUCCUAUCCGAUUAUCGAUCUCGCAAUUGAUGGGGCCGAUGAGGUUGAUCCCAAUCUCAAUUUAGUGAAAGGCCGAGGUGGGUCUUUGUUGAGGGAGAAAAUGAUAGAGGGUGCUUGCAAGAAGUUCGUUGUAAUUGUUGAUGAGUCCAAAAUGGUGAAAUAUAUUGGGGGUAGCGGAUUAGCUAUGCCUGUUGAAAUUGUGCCAUUUUGUUGGAAAUUCACUGCCAAGAAGUUGCAAGAGUUGUUUGGGUACGCAGGAUGUGCGGCCAAGCUGAGGACCAAGGGUUCUAACGGCAAGGAGAAUGCUGGGGAGCCUUUUGUUACUGAUAAUGGGAA